rnacentral:rRNA from 1 species
AACGAACGCUGGCGGCAUGCCUAACACUUGCAAGUCGAACGAGACCUUCGGGUCUAGUGGCGCACGGGUGCGUAACGCGUGGGAACCUGCCCUUAGGUUCGGAAUAACUCCCCGAAAGGGGUGCUAAUACCGGAUAAUGUCUUCGGACCAAAGAUUUAUCGCCUUUGGAUGGGCCCGCGUUGGAUUAGCUAGUUGGUAGGGUAAAAGCCUACCAAGGCGACAAUCCAUAGCUGGUCUGAGAGGAUGAUCAGCCACACUGGGACUGAGACACGGCCCAGACUCCUACGGGAGGCAGCAGUGGGGAAUAUUGGACAAUGGGCGAAAGCCUGAUCCAGCAAUGCCGCGUGAGUGAUGAAGGCCUUAGGGUUGUAAAGCUCUUUUACCCGGGAUGAUAAUGACAGUACCGGGAGAAUAAGCUCCGGCUAACUCCGUG